rnacentral:rRNA from 1 species
AUUGAACGCUGGCGGCAGGCCUAACACAUGCAAGUCGAGCGGAUGAAGGGAGCUUGCUCCUGGAUUCAGCGGCGGACGGGUGAGUAAUGCCUAGGAAUCUGCCUGGUAGUGGGGGAUAACGUCCGGAAACGGGCGCUAAUACCGCAUACGUCCUGAGGGAGAAAGUGGGGGAUCUUCGGACCUCACGCUAUCAGAUGAGCCUAGGUCGGAUUAGCUAGUUGGUGGGGUAAAGGCCUACCAAGGCGACGAUCCGUAACUGGUCUGAGAGGAUGAUCAGUCAAACUGGAAAUGAAACACGGUCAAGACUCCUAAGGGAGGCAGCAGGGGGGAAUAUUGGACAAAGGGCGAAAGCCUGAACAAGCCAGGCGGCGUGUGUGAAGAAGGUCUUCGGAUUGUAAAGCACUUUAAGUUGGGAGGAAGGGAAGUAAGUUAAUACCUUGCUGUUUUGACGUUACCAACAGAAUAAGCACCGGCUAACUUCGUG